GACGAACGCUGGCGGCGUGCUUAACACAUGCAAGUCGAACGGAAAGGCCCUGCUUUUGUGGGGUGCUCGAGUGGCGAACGGGUGAGUAACACGUGAGUAACCUGCCCUUUACUUUUGGAUAACUUCAGGAAACUGGGGCUAAUACCGGAUAGGUGCUCCUGCUGCAUGGUGGGGGUUGGAAAGUUUCGGCGGUUGGGGAUGGACUCGCGGCUUAUCAGCUUGUUGGUGGGGUAGUGGCUUACCAAGGCUUUGACGGGUAGCCGGCAUGAGAGGGUGACCGGCCACAUUGGGACUGAGAUACGGCCCAGAAUCCUACGGGAGGCAGCAGUGGGGAAUAUUGCACAAUGGGCGGAAGCCUGAUGCAGCAACGCCGCGUGCGGGAUGACGGCCUUCGGGUUGUAAACCGCUUUCGAAUGUGACGAAGCGUGAGUGACGGUAAUGGGUAAAGAAGCACCGGCUAACUACGUG
rnacentral:rRNA from 1 species